rnacentral:rRNA from 1 species
UGGGGGAUAUUGCACAAUGGGCGAAAGCCUGAUGCAGCGACGCCGCGUGGGGGAUGAAGGCUUUCGGGUUGUAAACCUCUUUCGCUAUCGAACAAGGCCCGCUUAGGGUGGGUUGAGGGUAGGUGGAGAAGAAGCGCCAGCUAACUACGUGCCAGCAGCCGCGGUAAUACGUAGGGCGCGAGCGUUGUCCGGAAUUAUUGGGCGUAAAGGGCUUGUAGGCGGCUUGUUGCGCCUGCUGUGAAAACGCGGGGCUUAACUUCGCGCGUGCAGUGGGUACGGGCAGGCUUGAGUGUGGUAGGGGUGACUGGAAUUCCAGGUGUAGCGGUGGAAUGCGCAGAUAUCUGGAGGAACACCGAUGGCGAAGGCAGGUCACUGGGCCAUUACUGACGCUGAGGAGCGAAAGCAUGGGUAGCGAACAGG